rnacentral:lncRNA from 1 species
AUCCUUUGAAGAGACCUGUACCUUCAGUGUUACUAGCUAGCAAUGCUGAGUGGAUUACUUUGAGGUCUAUUUGAUCUUUGCUCUCAUUUGCUGUAGCUUACUUUGCCUGCCCAUGUCUCCGUUUCCAAUCUGGGAGAAUUAUAUUGUCUAACUUCGGCAUCUCUGACCUGUGUUUAGAACAGAUACGAUGUACCUUGAGCUGUAAAACCUGCAUGUAUUUACCAAUCCAACAAACAAAAUCUAAAACUUGCUCUUGCUGGUAGAAUGGAGGGAAAUCAAAAUGAUGGCUUUAGUAUUAAAAUCUGACUCUAGCUCUGUCUCCAAGGGAUAAAGAUGUCAUGCAUCAGUUUAUGCCAAUGUGAAGGGCACAGAAACUUACUGCUUCCAAAAGAACUAACAUGUAGGAGUAAUUCAGUCACUUCAUACUAAUGACCAAGUCCUUCUGGGUAUACAGCAUUUCAGGGAAGAGGAAAACAACCCAAGUAGUCUGAAUUACACAUUAUUGCAACUAACAGAAUUGUUUUACUCUUUUUCCUCUUUGAGUCAUCUACUUUGGUGCUCUGAGGGUUCAGGAGGAAAUAGAGGAAGAGUUCUGAUCCACGCAUGGAAAGCAGUCCCUUCAGGACCUUUGGAUCUCAGAUCUGCAGGAUCCUGGUCUUUACGUUUGCAAUGACUUAAUUUCUUCAGCCUGUGCACAUUCAUAGUUUGUUGGCUCCUUAAAAUGAACUUUUGUGUUACUUAAAAAUCCAAAGACAUAGAUCUAAGGUGAAGAGGUUAUUUUAAAAGGGUAAGUGAAAGGUUUUUUAAAAACCAUAAUUAGCAAGAAAAGGUUGAUGUUGCAUUUGCUGGAGAACUCAUGUAAGAAUGUGGAGAUUCUGCCAUUUCUAUCCAGACAGAACUCAACCAUGUCCUCAUGUACCUGGGAAAGAGAAAUGGUCAUAAGAAUCUGAAUAAGAAUUAAAACAGGGACUCUGCUGUAGAUUAUGCCAUGUCUUUUUAAUUCCUCGUUGCCUCCUUUUCCCAGUCUGUACAAUACAGGGUUAUAAAAUUUAGCUGGAUUGAGCCUAAGGAAUGGGAUCUGACCAGGAUAACAUACCAAAAUAGGCAAAAUAUAAAUCUAUUAUGAGGGUUUUAUCUAUCCAUCUGGCAGCCUGAUCAAGUGGAAGGUAUCCCUGCCUAUGGCUGGGAGUUUAGAACUAGAGGAUCUUUAAAGGUUCCUUCCAGCUCAAACCAUUCUAUGAUUCUAUAUAUAUCAAAGUAACUUCUGAAUUAAGUCCUUGAAGAGGGAGAAACCUGCUGAUAAUGCUGUAAGGCGUUAUCAUAAAUGCCUUGUCAAUCGAUUAUGCUUAUGGCAAAAUAAAUUAAAGGACCAGAAGACUGCGUAGGACA